UGGGCGAAAGCUCUGAUGCAGCGACGCCGCGUGAGGGAUGACGGCCUUCGGGUUGUAAACCUCUUUCAGUAGGGAAGAAGCGAAAGUGACGGUACCUGCAGAAGAAGCGCCGGCUAACUACGUGCCAGCAGCCGCGGUAAUA
rnacentral:rRNA from 1 species